rnacentral:rRNA from 4 species
GAUGAACGCUGGCGGCGUGCCUAAUACAUGCAAGUCGAACGAGUUCUCGUUGAUGAUCGGUGCUUGCACCGAGAUUCAACAUGGAACGAGUGGCGGACGGGUGAGUAACACGUGGGUAACCUGCCCUUAAGUGGGGGAUAACAUUUGGAAACAGAUGCUAAUACCGCAUAGAUCCAAGAACCGCAUGGUUCUUGGCUGAAAGAUGGCGUAAGCUAUCGCUUUUGGAUGGACCCGCGGCGUAUUAGCUAGUUGGUGAGGUAAUGGCUCACCAAGGCGAUGAUACGUAGCCGAACUGAGAGGUUGAUCGGCCACAUUGGGACUGAGACACGGCCCAAACUCCUACGGGAGGCAGCAGUAGGGAAUCUUCCACAAUGGACGCAAGUCUGAUGGAGCAACGCCGCGUGAGUGAAGAAGGCUUUCGGGUCGUAAAACUCUGUUGUUGGAGAAGAAUGGUCGGCAGAGUAACUGUUGUCGGCGUGACGGUAUCCAACCAGAAAGCCACGGCUAACUACGUGCCAGCAGCCGCGGUAAUACGUAGGUGGCAAGCGUUAUCCGGAUUUAUUGGGCGUAAAGCGAGCGCAGGCGGUUUUUUAAGUCUGAUGUGAAAGCCCUCGGCUUAACCGAGGAAGCGCAUCGGAAACUGGGAAACUUGAGUGCAGAAGAGGACAGUGGAACUCCAUGUGUAGCGGUGAAAUGCGUAGAUAUAUGGAAGAACACCAGUGGCGAAGGCGGCUGUCUGGUCUGUAACUGACGCUGAGGCUCGAAAGCAUGGGUAGCGAACAGGAUUAGAUACCCUGGUAGUCCAUGCCGUAAACGAUGAAUGCUAGGUGUUGGAGGGUUUCCGCCCUUCAGUGCCGCAGCUAACGCAUUAAGCAUUCCGCCUGGGGAGUACGACCGCAAGGUUGAAACUCAAAGGAAUUGACGGGGGCCCGCACAAGCGGUGGAGCAUGUGGUUUAAUUCGAAGCAACGCGAAGAACCUUACCAGGUCUUGACAUCUUUUGAUCACCUGAGAGAUCAGGUUUCCCCUUCGGGGGCAAAAUGACAGGUGGUGCAUGGUUGUCGUCAGCUCGUGUCGUGAGAUGUUGGGUUAAGUCCCGCAACGAGCGCAACCCUUAUGACUAGUUGCCAGCAUUUAGUUGGGCACUCUAGUAAGACUGCCGGUGACAAACCGGAGGAAGGUGGGGAUGACGUCAAAUCAUCAUGCCCCUUAUGACCUGGGCUACACACGUGCUACAAUGGAUGGUACAACGAGUUGCGAGACCGCGAGGUCAAGCUAAUCUCUUAAAGCCAUUCUCAGUUCGGACUGUAGGCUGCAACUCGCCUACACGAAGUCGGAAUCGCUAGUAAUCGCGGAUCAGCACGCCGCGGUGAAUACGUUCCCGGGCCUUGUACACACCGCCCGUCACACCAUGAGAGUUUGUAACACCCGAAGCCGGUGGCGUAACCCUUUUAGGGAGCGAGCCGUCUAAGGUGGGACAAAUGAUUAGGGUGAA